rnacentral:rRNA from 1 species
AUUGAACGCUGGCGGCAGGCCUAACACAUGCAAGUCGAGCGAGCGGCGGACGGGUGAGUAAUGUAUGGUGACUGUCCGAUAGAGGGGGAUAACAACUGGAAACGGCAGCUAAUAACGCAUACUAUCGGAUAACCCUUAGGGGAGUAGCGAGUAGGUGAGGUAAUGGCUCACAUAGGCGACGAUCCCUAGCUGGUCUGAGAGGAUGAUCAGCCACACUGGGACUGAGACACGGCCCAGAAUCCUACGGAGGCAGCAGUGGGGAAUAUUGCACAAUGGGCGAAAGCCUGAUGCAGCCAUGCCGCGUGUAGGAAGAAGGCCCUAGGGUUGUAAAGUACUUUCAGUAGGGAGGCGUUACCUACAGAAGAAGCACCGGCUAACUCCGUGCCAGCAGCCGCGGUAAUAC